rnacentral:rRNA from 1 species
UACAGAGGUCCCAAGCGUUGUUCUGAUUCAUUGGGCGUAAAGGGUGCGUAGGCGGCGCGGUAAGUCGGGUGUGAAAUCUCGGGGCUUAACUCCGAAACUGCAUUCGAUACUGCCGUGCUUGAGGACUGGAGAGGAGACUGGAAUUUACGGUGUAGCGGUGAAAUGCGUAGAUAUCGUAAGGAAGACCAGUGGCGAAGGCGGGUCUCUGGACAGUUCCUGACGCUGAGGCACGAAGGCCAGGGGAGCAAACGGG